rnacentral:rRNA from 1 species
CAGUAGCCGCGGUAAUACGUAGGAUGCAAGCGUUAAUCAGAAUUACUGGGCGUAAAGCGUGCGCAGGCGGUUCGUUAAGACAGAUGUGAAAUCCCCGGGCUUAACCUGGGAACUGCACUUGUGACUGGCGGGCUAGAGUAUGGCAGAGGGGGGUAGAAUUCCACGUGUAGCAGUGAAAUGCGUAGAGAUGUGGAGGAAUACCGAUGGCGAAGGCAGCCCCCUGGGCCAAUACUGACGCUCAUGCACGAAAGCGUGGGGAGCAAACAGGAUUAGAUACCCCGGUAGUCCCUGUCUCUUAUAC